rnacentral:lncRNA from 10 species
GGUACAUGUGCACAAUGUGCAGUUUUGUUACAUAUGUAUACAUGUGCCAUGUUGGUGUGCUGCACCCAUUAACUCGUCAUUUACAUUAGGUGUAUCUCCUAAUGCUAUCCCUCCCUCCUCCCCUCACCCCACCACAGGCCCCGGUGUGUGAUGUUCCCCUUCCUGUGUCCAGGUGUUCUCAUUGUGGAGCCGCUCUUUCUAUGUCCUGCCCAGGCAGAGGCCUUCCCAAAAGCUCUAGAGCAGUAGUUCUCAAAAUGUGACCCUGGACUCGCAGCAUCAGUGUCACCUGGGAGCUUGUUAGGUAUGCAAAUUCUCCAACCCCACCCCAGCAUUACUGAAUCAGCAAUUCUGGGACGGGGUCCAGCAAUCUGUGUUUUAACAACACUCCAGGUAAUUCUGGUGCACACUGAAGUUUGAGAACCAUUGAUCCAGAUGUAUGAAAACUCAUUUUCCAAGUUAACACUGAGUUCCAAAAGGUUUAUAUCAAAGUACUCCUUUUGUUGAAUCUUCCUCUGUAUGUCAAAUUACCUGUUUACAAUCCUCCGGGGGUCCCCUCUUGCCUUCAUGACAAAAAACAAAUUGCUUAGCUUGGUCUACAGAGAACUUACAAGCCAGCCCCUACCCAGCCCCGCCUCCCUACCGCAUACACCAUGCUCCACACCCACAGUGCACAUUGCCCACUUUGUGUUAUGCAUAUGCUGGGUCCUUUCCCUGGAAUAUAAUACUUUUUCCCUCCUUUGCCUGGUAGACCUCUCUCCUUGAAGACAAAGUGUUGAUAUCAACUCCACCUUCAAGUCUCUCAAGCAGAACUAGAUGCUGUUUCUUCAAUGUUUCCACAUCUUCUUGUUCACAUGUGUCUAAGAUGCUUCAAGGGAAAUCUGUCUCCCCAGACACUUGCGUACUACAUUGUAAGCCAUUUUUACUAUGAAGAAGAUUGUAAGCUCAAUUACGGGCUUUACUGCGCUGAUAACGAACACAGAUAUGAGACAAGCAGACUUGAGCUCCUGCCUCGAGGAUGGUGAGCAAAGAGCCUAAGCAAAACUGAGAGGAAAUGAAACACAAAGAGGAAACAGAAAGCAACAAUAGGAAAUGGAUCCAUCCGGCUCACCCCUUCCUCCUGUACUUCAAUCUUGCCACUAGCUGAACCCAACAGGAAGCUAAGUGGCAGAGAAGUGAGGGAAAUACAGCCUGCAAAGAAGGACAAGGGAAGGACCUGGGGGCAAACAUGCCCCCAUGUAUAUAAUGAAAACAAGGCUUAUUCUCUUCUGAUUCAUUCAAAUUCCGUUGCUUAAUCAUGGGAAUCAUGGAAUGGCAUUUGGUCAAGGAGUAAUUUUCAUGAGAUGGUUUGGUAAUUUUCUGGACUUCAUUUUAUUUUUCAUUAUUUUAUGAGCAUGUAAAUCAAAACAGAUGAUAUCACCUCAUCUUUCUCAAUGGCAUCAGUAACAGAACAAAAUCAAAUGAAAGUGCUCCAUAAAAAUGAGCACUGCCCAAGUUAUAGUGUGUGCGGGCUGCUGCCCACUACUCCCUUCUCUGAGUCAUUCCCCGAUGUGACUUGGCAGCCCAGCUCCAUCAGCUCUGUGGUUGAAAAAAAAUGGGUCAUUGCACUGCGACAAAAGGACAUUCAUUGAAAAUACAGCAAUUAAGAAAAAUUUGAGCUCCAAUAGUCUCAAAUGACCAAAGGAAGCUUGUACUUGCAGCGUGUGGGUGCCAGCAGCAGGCAGACCAACAAAGCAGCAGGAGUUCCACCAGCAGCCACCAGGGACACGUCUAAGAAUUCUAUCAAACAGAAGGAAGUGGCUGAACUCCACUGAUGCAGGGGACAGGAGGCCUUGGAAAAGGCUGUUUUCAGCAUUACUAGCAUUUAAUUGAAACAUUCUGGAACCUGUAGUCCCAGGACCUAAAAAUAGGGCAUCACAACAAAAGACUCAACAAUAACGUUUUUCCUUAUGAAAUUUUAUUUUUGCUUAAAUAUAGGGGAAUAUAUAGGACACUGUAAAGGCAAAGUCUCACUGGUUUCUCUCUCUCUCACACACACACACAGAAUUGGAAGAGUUCAUAAAUAAAACAAAUUAGCAAAAAUGUUGAUGGUUGUUGAAGCUGGAUGAUGGGUACAUGAGUGUUCAUUGUAUUAAUCUCUCCUACCUUUUGUUUUAAAAUUUUUAUUAAAAAGGGAAAAUGUAAAUGUUGAUUUCAUUGGAUACAUGUUUUCCCUAGUUAGUCUUCCUUUACACUGUUCAUUUCAUUGUCACUAGGCUUCACCAUGUCUCUGUGUCGUGGGACCCAGCAGCAUGCAGAUAUUGCCAAGUGUGCUCUGAUUCUGUCUGUACUUAUGUGGAAAGCAGAAGCCUGCUCUGGCAGAGGAAGGGCGGUGUCCAGGCAAUAGGCAUAGGAAAUGAGUAGGCAGCAGGCUGAAGAGGGUGAAAAAAAACAGGGCAAGAGCAACCCCUCCACUGAAAUGCACUGGGAAGGGGGACUUAGAUACUAACACAAGUUCAAUUCAAGAAGCAUUUAUUGAACCGUCCUCAUGAGCCAGGUCAGGGUGUUCAGCACUGAGCGUGUCAAGACGAAGACACAUAGCCUCUAAGUGUCCACCAUCUACAAUAGCUAAUGUUUAAUUGUCCUUAAAAGUUGAAGAAUGUUGACUGGAUUGUCUGCAAAUCAGUCAUGUGAGUAGUGUUAAUCUAAUGAAGAAGAAUCUUAAAAGACAAAUUCUCCAAAUGCUGCUGCUCCUGCAUCCUGCUGCUCUACCUGCUGUGGGGAGGAGUGACCACUCCCUGAUAUGCUGCAGAUGCAAUUGAGUAGCAGCUUCAUUCCACAUUUCUCCAACAUCUUUCAUGGUGAGGUCAAGAGCAUAUUCAAAACCAUGUGUGGCUCAGUCCAACUGGAGAGACCAAGUCAAAGAGCCUCAUUUCCAUAAGGCACAGAGUUAAGAAGUGGCAAGUUAACACAGCCAGAGCAUGCACAGAAGAAAACUUCGACCUCAAAUAACACCUAGAACCAAAGUCCCUACCGCAGAACUAAAAGAUUGGGAUGUGGCUGGAACUCAAGCACCUAAACACUUUCAAAAGGCUUUGCCUUCCAGUGUCUACUUGGCCUUCCAGUGUCAGACAGCUUCUUGCACCUGACCCACUCAGCUGAGGACACAGAUGUCAAAAAAAAAAUCAUAAAUACAGAAUUCCAGAAAAUUUUACCAAUAUGUUAUAUUUGCUGUGGUUGCUUUAUAGAUUUUUAAAAAUUAUUGGUCCAGUAACAGGUCUGAAAUUUAACCCUUCUCCUGCUUUUGAAGCAUUUUUUAGAUUCUGGGUCUUCCUCCCCCUGCACCAUACCACCAGCCCUAUUUUUCCAGACGUGCUCCAUAAAACUAAAGCAUCAACUCUGCAAUCAGAACAUCCUGGGUUCCAAUUCCAACUCUGCCAACUAAUAGGGGUACAACUUUAAGCAGUCGUGUCCUUCCUCUAAAUACCAUGGAAUAGUAAUAGGACCUCCUCAAUUCCUCAACUCAAAUUCCUGUUAUCCCAAUGCUGAUUAUCUUCUCCAGGACUUGGAAAGAGAUUACCUUUCAAAACCUGCAAUUUACCCUAAACAAAUAAAUUGCUAACAGCUUUAACCCUAAUAAUAGGUUGUUAACAAGACAAAUCUCUAAUUACUGGAGAUAUUGUAAGAAUACUCUUGAACACGGGGUUCUCCCUGGCUCUUUGGUCCCUCUUUCCACACUCUUGUGUUGUAGAGUUGCUCAAUAACUGUUCCAGACUUCUGAGAGGAGUCCAACACCCACUCCAAACUCUCAAAGA